AAAUUGAAGAGUUUGAUCAUGGCUCAGAUUGAACGCUGGCGGCAGGCCUAACACAUGCAAGUCGAACGGUAACAGGAAGCAGCUUGCUGCUUCGCUGACGAGUGGCGGACGGGUGAGUAAUGUCUGGGAAACUGCCUGAUGGAGGGGGAUAACUACUGGAAACGGUGGCUAAUACCGCAUAACGUCGCAAGACCAAAGAGGGGGACCUUCGGGCCUCUUGCCAUCAGAUGUGCCCAGAUGGGAUUAGCUUGUUGGUGAGGUAACGGCUCACCAAGGCGACGAUCCCUAGCUGGUCUGAGAGGAUGACCAGCCACACUGGAACUGAGACACGGUCCAGACUCCUACGGGAGGCAGCAGUGGGGAAUAUUGCACAAUGGGCGCAAGCCUGAUGCAGCCAUGCCGCGUGUAUGAAGAAGGCCUUCGGGUUGUAAAGUACUUUCAGCGGGGAGGAAGGUGUUGUGGUUAAUAACCGCAGCAAUUGACGUUACCCGCAGAAGAAGCACCGGCUAACUCCGUGCCAGCAGCCGCGGUAAUACGGAGGGUGCAAGCGUUAAUCGGAAUUACUGGGCGUAAAGCGCACGCAGGCGGUCUGUCAAGUCGGAUGUGAAAUCCCCGGGCUCAACCUGGGAACUGCAUUCGAAACUGGCAGGCUUGAGUCUUGUAGAGGGGGGUAGAAUUCCAGGUGUAGCGGUGAAAUGCGUAGAGAUCUGGAGGAAUACCGGUGGCGAAGGCGGCCCCCUGGACAAAGACUGACGCUCAGGUGCGAAAGCGUGGGGAGCAAACAGGAUUAGAUACCCUGGUAGUCCACGCCGUAAACGAUGUCUACUUGGAGGUUGUGCCCUUGAGGCGUGGCUUCCGGAGCUAACGCGUUAAGUAGACCGCCUGGGGAGUACGGCCGCAAGGUUAAAACUCAAAUGAAUUGACGGGGGCCCGCACAAGCGGUGGAGCAUGUGGUUUAAUUCGAUGCAACGCGAAGAACCUUACCUGGUCUUGACAUCCACAGAAGAAUCCAGAGAUGGAUUUGUGCCUUCGGGAACUGUGAGACAGGUGCUGCAUGGCUGUCGUCAGCUCGUGUUGUGAAAUGUUGGGUUAAGUCCCGCAACGAGCGCAACCCUUAUCCUUUGUUGCCAGCGGUCCGGCCGGGAACUCAAAGGAGACUGCCAGUGAUAAACUGGAGGAAGGUGGGGAUGACGUCAAGUCAUCAUGGCCCUUACGACCAGGGCUACACACGUGCUACAAUGGCGCAUACAAAGAGAAGCGACCUCGCGAGAGCAAGCGGACCUCAUAAAGUGCGUCGUAGUCCGGAUUGGAGUCUGCAACUCGACUCCAUGAAGUCGGAAUCGCUAGUAAUCGUGGAUCAGAAUGCCACGGUGAAUACGUUCCCGGGCCUUGUACACACCGCCCGUCACACCAUGGGAGUGGGUUGCAAAAGAAGUAGGUAGCUUAACCUUCGGGAGGGCGCUUACCACUUUGUGAUUCAUGACUGGGGUGAAGUCGUAACAAGGUAACCGUAGGGGAACCUGCGGUUGGA
rnacentral:rRNA from 1 species